ensembl:lncRNA
AAAAACAACCUGACAACACACCAUCAUCAUCACAGUCAAAACACAGCUCAGGUAGCAGAAGAAACACACUUACAAUCAACAUGAAUUGUUGUUCUUGUACAAUAUGACGUUUUUUAACUUUAGCAUUUACUAAAGGAGGCACAUACAUGACCAACAGGCCAGUGUCCCAAAUUGAAUCCUAUCCCCUCUGUCAUGCACUACUAUUGACCGGGGCCCAUAAGGUAAAGGGGACACCACUAUGGGCCCUGGUCAACAGUAGUGCACCCUUUACCCUCAACACUACUGUUGACCAGGGCCCAUAGGGUGAAGGGGACACUACUGUUAACCAGGGCCCAUAGGGUGAAGGGGACACUACUGUUAACCAGGGCCCAUAGGAUAAAGAGGACACUACUGUUGACCAGGGCCCAUAGGGUAAAGGGGACACUACUGUUAACCAGGGCCCAUAGGGUAAAGGCCGCCCUCUGGGACACAGUCAUUGUAUUAUCUAAUGUGGUCUGGAUAAUCAUAUCUGGAUAACCUCAUUGGACUAGACCAGGUUAUCCAGAUAUGAGACACUUCAUAAUAACUCUGAAUCAAUAUUAGUAAACAAUAAACAAGGCUGAAAACAAACAAUCAGUAGGACCAACAGCCUUCUUCAAGAGGAGGUUCAGGGCCAGUUUUAGGUCCAACAGCCUUCUUCAAGAGGAGGUUCAGGGCCAGUUUUAGGUCCAACAGUAGCCAGCAUCAAGAGGAGGUUCAUGGCCAGUUUUAGGACAAACAGCCUUCUUCAAGAGGAGGUUCAGGGCCAGUUUUAGGUCCAACAGUAGCCAGCAUCAAGAGGUUCAUGGCCAGUUUUAGGACCAACAGUAUCCUGCUUCAGGAGGUGGUUCAGGGCCAGUUUUAGGACCAGUAGGACCAACAGUAUCCUACUUCAGGAGGUGGUUCAGGGCCAGUUUUAGGACCAGUAGGUCCAACAGUAUCCUGCUUCAGGAGGAGGUUCAGGGCCAGUUUUAGGACCAGUAGGACCAACAGUAUCCUGCUUCAGGAGGUGGUUCAUUGCCAGUUUUAGGACCAAUAGUAUCCUGCUUCAGGAGGUGGUUCAGGGCCAGUUUUAGGACCAACAGUAUACUGCUUAAGGAGGUGGUUCAUUGCCAGUUUUAGGACCAUUAGUAUCCUGCUUCAGGUGGUUCAGGGCCAGUUUUAGGACCAGUAGGGCCAACGGGCCAGCUUCAGGAGGAGGUUCAGGGACAGUUUUAGGACCAGUAUGGCCAACGGCCUGCUUCAAGAGGAGCUUCAGGGCCAGUUUUAGGUCCAACAGUAGCCUGCUUCAGGAGGAGGUUCAGGGCCAGUUUUAGGACCAGUAGGACCAACAGUAUCCUGCUUCAGGAGGAGGUUCAGGGCCAGUUUUAGAACCAGUAGGACCAACAGUAUCCUGCUUCAGGAGGUGGUUCAUUGCCAGUUUUAGAACCAGUAGGACCAACAGUAUCCUGCUUCAGGAGGUGGUUCAUUGCCAGUUUUAGAACCAGUAGGACCAACAGUAUCCUGCUUCAGGAGGUGGUUCAUUGCCAGUUUUAGAACCAGUAGGACCAACAGUAUCCUGCUUCAGGAGGUGGUUCAGGGCCAGUUUUAGGACCAACAGUAUCCUGCUUCAGGAGGUGGUUCAGGACCAGUUUUAGGACCAACAGUGUCCUGCUUCAGGAGGUGGUUCAGGGCCAGUUUUAGGACCAACAGUAUCCUGCUUCAGGAGGUGGUUCAGGGCCAGUUUUAGGACCAGUAGGACCAACAGUAUCCUGCUUCAGGAGGAGGUUCAGGGCCAGUUUUAGGACCAGUAGGUCCAACAGUAUCCUGCUUCAGGAGAUGGUUCAGGGCACCUUCUCAGUAGUAGUGGAGUGGAUCAGUUUCUGGGGGGGGCGUCUUAACAUGGCUCCUCUGGCUCUGUGGAGCUUGGCUGGUUACGGGUAGACCCCCAGACUGGGGCUCUGGGUGGUGAUAGGGGGCUGGAGAGGGGCGGAGGUGGCUGGGGCAAGCCCAGACUGGGGCUCUGGGUGGUGAUAGGGGGCUGGAAAGGGGCGGAGGUGGCUGGGGCAAGCCCAGACUGGGGCUCUGGGUGGUGAUAGGGGGCUGGAGAGGGGCGGAGGUGGCAAGCCCAGACUGGGGCUCUGGGUGGUGAUAGGGGGGCGGAGGUGGCUGGGGCAAGCCCAGACUGGGGCUCUGGGUGGUGAUAGGGGGCUGGAGAGGGGCGGAGGUGGCUGGGGCAAGCCCAGACUGGGGCUCUGGGUGGUGGUAGGGGGGCUGGAGAGGGGCAGAGGUGGCUGGGGCAAGCCCGGGCUGUUUUUUUUUUGGGGGCCUUUGGAAGAGACAGUCUGUUUCUGCCUAUCAGGUGGAACCCUGUUCCCUACAUAGUGCAGUACUUCUGACCAGAGACCCAUAGAGUUAGUUCCCACACAAAGCCAGUUGAUGAAGUGGACCAAGGAGAUGACAACAUUGACAUUGUUCUGUGAUGUCAGGUCCAGGUGUGAAGGACCCCACAGGGCUCUGGUCACAAGUAG